AACGUAGGUGGCGAGCGUUAUCCGGAUUUACUGGGCGUAAAGCGUGUGCAGGCGGAGCCACAAGUGGUGUAUGAAAUCGCUCGGCUUAACCGGGCGGGGUUAUGCCAGACUGUGGUUCUAGAGUGCGAGAGAGGGGCGUGGAAUUCCGGGUGUAGUGGUGAAAUGCGUAGAGAUCCGGAGGAACCCCAGAGGCGAAGGCGGCGCCCUGGCUCGCAACUGACGCUCAGACACGACAGCAUGGGGAGCGAACGGG
rnacentral:rRNA from 1 species